UGACUAUUGAUGUGAUGAAUUACAUUUUUUGAUUUCCUUAUGUUGAAUCAACCUUGCAUCCCUGGGAUGAAUCCUACUUGAUCAUGGUGCACAAUCUUUUUGAUAUGUAUUUGUAUUCAAUUUGAGAGAAUUUUAUUGAGAAUUUUUACAUCAAUGUUCAUUAGAAAUAUUGGUCUAAAGUUUUCUUUCUUUGAUGUGUCUUUGCCUGGUUUUGGAAUCAGGGUGAUAUUGGCCUCAUGGAAUGAGUUUGGAAGUGCUGCCUCUUUUUCUAUUUCCUGAAAUAAAUUGAAGAGUAUUGGUAUCAGUUCUUCUUUAAAGGUCUUGUAGAACUCUGGCUGUGUAACCGUCCAGUCCUAGGCUUUUCUUGGUUGGUAGGCAAAAUGUGGCAUAUAUACACAAUGGAAUAUUAUUCAGCAAUAAAAGAGAAUGAAAUCAUGGCAUUUGCAGGUAAAUAGAUGCAGUUGGAGAAGAUAAUGCUAAGUGAAGUUAGCUAGUGCCAAAAAAAAAAAAAAAAACAAAAACAAAUGGCGAAUGUUUUCUCUGAUAUAAGGUGACUGACUCAUAGUUGGGUAGGGAGAAGGAGCAUGGGAGG
rnacentral:lncRNA from 1 species